UUUACUUUGGCAGAAAAUAUGCGUUAAAUUUAGAAUUUAAUUAUAUAGAAAAUAUUCCUAUAGGUAAAA
rnacentral:tRNA from 1 species